rnacentral:rRNA from 1 species
AUGUUCAGUCAUGGAGGUAGAGCACUGGAUGGGUUAGGGGGCCUACAAGCUUACCAACCCCAGCCAAACUCCGAAUGCCAUGACUCCAGAGUGCGGCAGUGAGUCCUCGGGGGAUGAGCUUCGAUGGACGAAAGGGAAACAGCCCAGACCGCCGACUAAGGCCCCAAAGUUCUGACUAAGUGGUAAACGAAGUGGGAUUGCACAGACAGCCAGGAUGUUGGCUUAGAAGCAGCCACCAUUGAAAGAGUGCGUAACAGCUCACUGGUCAAGUGGUCCCGCGCGGAAAAUGUAACGGGGCUCAAGUCAGACGCCGAAGUCGCGGACUUCUGCUUGCAGGAGUGGUAGCGGAGCGUCGAGUUCGGAGCGAAGCGGCGGUGUAAACCGACGUGGACCGGGCUCGAGUGAGAAUGUUGGUAUGAGUAGCGAGAGAGGGGUGAGAAACCCCUCCGCCGGAAGUCCAAGGGUUCCUGGGGAAGGCUAAUCCUCCCAGGGUGAGUCGGGAGCUAAG